UUGAUGAAUGAUAAGUAAAUCUUUUUGUUUUUGGUGAAGCACUUAAUGUGUACUGUGUUGUCUUGGAAUAUUAAUAGACCACAUGGAUUGUUUGACUGGUACAAAUUAAUCACAAAUUCUUAACUGCACUGUGUUCACAAGCUUAUUAUCUCCUUGUUCUUCAAUACUACAGGACAGCGAUGAGGAGAAAAGUGACCAAGACCUUGUUGUGGAUGUUGCCAAUGAUGACUCCAUCUCUCCACCAAAUCGAAACCCUCUAAGGGAAAAUGGGGUUGACAGGAAUAUUAAAAGGGAGCGACCACCCAGUAGGAGUGGUUCCACUUCCAACAGAGAAACUACA